rnacentral:rRNA from 1 species
GAUGAACGCUGGCGGCAUGCCUAAUACAUGCAAGUCAAACGGGUGUAGCAAUACACAAGUGGCGAACGGGUGAGUAACACAUAGACAACCUGUCCUUAAGACGAGGAUAACAGUUGGAAACGACUGCUAAAACUGGAUAGGAUAAAGUAACGCAUGUUAAGAUAUUUAAAGAUGCUUUCGGGCAUUACUUAAGGAGGGGUCUAUGUCGCAUUAGCUAGUUGGUGAGGUAAGGGCUCACCAAGGCGACGAUGCGUAGCUGUGCUGAGAGGCAAAACAGCCACACUGGGACUGAGACACGGCCCAGACUCCUACGGGAGGCAGCAGUAGGGAAUUUUCGGCAAUGGGGGAACCCUGACCGAGCAAUGCCGCGUGAAUGAAGACGAUCUUCGGAUUGUAAAGUUCUGUUAUUGGGAAAGAAAGAUAUGGCGAGGAAAUGCGUUAUAUUUGACGGUACCUGAUGAGAAAGCCCCGGCUAACUAUGUGCCAGCAGCCGAC